CGUCGCGGGCAGUGACUUGCGCCGGGAGGUCUCCCGGACAGCGCCCCUCCCGUCGCCACCCUAGGGUCCGCCCCCGGGCCGUCCCCGUUCUGAAUGAACCCUCGGAUGCCAGGCCGCUCCCUAGGAUCCCUGCGGUGUUGGUAAAGAACCUAGGGCCUCUAAACCUGAACUCACCCAGCCCAGCAUGUAUUUCUAUUGGAUACAAAUUCAUAAUAGAAUUGCUGAGUUACAAAGAAUUACCAGGUCAGAAAGGGAUUGCUGCUUCCUUGCUUGGGAGCCAGAUGAGGUGGCCGGACUGCGUUCGGAUGCCAUGAUCACGGAGGAGGGCUCUAAAGCGCGGGGGCCUCACUUGAAGACGCACCAGAGCCACAGUGAAAGCCGAGAUGCGCAGAGGUCCAGCCCGGUCAAGGCAAGGACAGUUUGGU